GUUCGGUGGUUAUGGCGAGAGGGAAACACCCGGUCCCAUUCCGAACCCGGUAGUUAAGCCUCUCAGCGCCGAUGGUACUGCAUGGGAGACUGUGUGGGAGAGUAGGACGCCGCCGGACC
rnacentral:rRNA from 1 species